CGCGCAGGCGGCCAAGUCAGUCGAAUGUGAAAGCCCCCGGCUCAACUGGGGAAGGUCGUUCGAUACUGCUUGGCUCGAAGAUAGGAGAGGGAAGUGGAAUUUCAGGUGUAGUGGUGAAAUGCGUAGAUAUCUGAAGGAACACCAGUGGCGAAGGCGACUUUCUGGCCUAUUCUUGACGCUGAGGCGCGAAAGCUAGGGGAGCGAACG
rnacentral:rRNA from 1 species